CUCGGCAACGGAUAUCUCGGCUCUGGCAUCSAUGAAGAACGUAGCGAAAUGCGAUACUUGGUGUGAAUUGCAGAAUCCCGUGAACCAUCGAGUCUUUGAACGCAAGUUGCGCCCGAAGCCAUUAGGCCGAGGGCACGUCUGCCUGGGCGUCACGC
rnacentral:rRNA from 1 species